rnacentral:rRNA from 1 species
CCUACGGGAGGCAGCAGUGGGGAAUAUUGGACAAUGGGCGCAAGCCUGAUCCAGCCAUGCCGCGUGGGUGAAGAAGGCCUUCGGGUUGUAAAGCCCUUUUGUCCGGAAAGAAAAGCUCUUGAUUAAUACUCGAGGGUUCUGACGGUACCGGAAGAAUAAGCACCGGCUAACUUCGUGCCAGCAGCCGCGGUAAUACGAAGGGUGCAAGCGUUACUCGGAAUUACUGGGCGUAAAGCGUGCGUAGGUGGUUCGUUAAGUCUGAUGUGAAAGCCCUGGGCUCAACCUGGGAAUUGCAUUGGAUACUGGCGAGCUAGAGUGCGGUAGAGGAUGGCGGAAUUCCCGGUGUAGCAGUGAAAUGCGUAGAGAUCGGGAGGAACAUCUGUGGCGAAGGCGGCCAUCUGGACCAGGCACUGACACUGAGGCACGAAAGCGUGGGGAGCAAACAGGAUUAGAUACCCUGGUAGUCCCACGACCUAACGACUGCGACUAGAGUGUUGGUGCACUAGCGACUCAGUAUCGAGACACGACGUUAAGUUACGUCCGCCGUCGGGAGGUACGGUCGCGACGACGAGAACGUACGAAGUAGAAGUUAGUACGGACGUGAGACGUUGCCGACGGACGACGACGAGGGAGGUAGGG